rnacentral:rRNA from 1 species
AGAGUUUGAUCCUGGCUCAGAACGAACGCUGGCGGCAGGCCUCAAACAUGCAAGUCGAGCGCCCAGCAAUGGGAGCGGCGGACGGGUGCGUAACACGUGGGAACGUACCCUUUGGUUCGGAACAACGCAGGGAAACUUGCGCUAAUACUGGAUAAGCCCGAAAGGGGAAAGAUUUAUCGCCAAAGGAUCGGCCCGCGUUCGAUUAGCUAGUUGGUGGGGUAAAGGCCCACCAAGGCGACGAUCGAUAGCUGGUCUGAGAGGACGAUCAGCCACACUGGGACUGAGACACGGCCCAGACUCCUACGGGAGGCAGCAGUUGGGAAUCUUGGACAAUGGAGGAAACUCUGAUCCAGCCAUGCCGCGUGAGUGAUGAAGGCCUUCGGGUUGUAAAACUCUUUCGACGGGGACGAUAAUGACGGUACCCGUAGAAGAAGCUCCGGCUAACUUCGUGCCAGCAGCCGCGGUAAUACGAAGGGGGCUAGCGUUGUUCGGAAUUACUGGGCGUAAAGCGCGCGCAGGCGGCCGUUCAAGUCA